rnacentral:lncRNA from 1 species
GCCUCUGCAGGAAGGGCGGGAAAGGUUGGGCUGCGUGUCUCCGGAGGACGGCUCGGGGCCUGGCGGGACCUUGCUUAGGCUCCCGGGGUCCAGAGAAGUGGGAGCGUGACUCCGGGAGCGGCGGCGAGGUCUUGUUAAGCUUUCGGCGGACCAGGACGAAACUGGGACACUGAAAAGGCAAGAGACGAAACAAACUUGGAAUUCAGGCAGAGAGCUACAACAAAACCAGAGAGGAAAAGUAGCCAAUCAGAGUUUCACUGGAGGGACGUGGGGAAAGUCAAGGAAGAGUAAGAGAGAGGAUCCCAGGCAGGCUCCAUGCCCAGUACAGAGCCUGACGUGGGGCUCAAUCUCCAACCCCAAGACCAUGAACUGAACAGAAACCAAGUGUCGGAUAGUUAACCAACUGAGCCACCCAGGCGCAUUGCCCUGCCCCACCUGUGAGUAGAUUCGUAAUAUAGCUUUGGAAUCUUACUAUAUUUCCCUAUAACAUCCUCAAAUUUCCGUAUACAUCAGAAUGACCAGGGCCUGUUAAUAAAACGCAGUUGAAACUCUGGUAUCGGGAUCCC